rnacentral:rRNA from 1 species
UACGAAGGGAGCUAGCGUUGUUCGGAAUCACUGAGCGUAAAGCGCACGUAGGCGGAUGUGUCAGUCAGGGGUGAAAGUCCCGGAGCUCAACUUCGGAACUGCCUUGAUACAGCACGUCUUGAGUCCGAUAGAGGUGGGUGGAAUUCCUAGUGUAGAGGUGAAAUUCGUAGAUAUUAGGAAGAACACCGGUGGCGAAGGCGGCUCUCUGGGACGUGACUGACGCUGAGACGCGAAAGCGUGGGGAGCAAACAGGAGU